rnacentral:rRNA from 1 species
UAAGCGAACAGUGAAAUUGUGUGGCUCAACCAUACACCCAUUGUUCGAACUGCUCAGCUUGAAGAUGAGAGAGGUUACUGGAAUUCCCUGUGUAGGAGUGAAAUCCGUAGAUAUAGGGAGGAACACCGAUGGCGUAGGCAGGUAACUGGCUCAUUCUUGACACUAAGGCACGAAAGCGUGGGAGCAAACGGGAUUAGAUACCCCGGUAGUCCACGCCGUAAACGAUGGAUGCUA